AGAAGGAACAGCCCCAGUGGCGGGGCCAGCUCUGGAAACCUGGAUUCAGCUCCCGCAGGAACUCCGGAGCUCUCCGUCUGCAGGGCCUGGAGGCUCCGGGGCGGG
rnacentral:pre_miRNA from 1 species